CCAUCCCAAGUCUCCCACCUGUCAAAAUUGGUUUCACUUGAUCUCUCCUCUGGGGGUUAUGUACAAACAAUUGACAAACAUGCUCUGGAGGGACUUGUUCACAACCUAACCGAGGUCAGACAUCUGUUUUUGGAUGGAAUGAACAUGUCUUCUGUUAACGCUCAUGUCUUCAUGAAUCUAUCCUCUUCUCUAAGGUCUCUCAGUCUUGCUCGUUGUGAUUUGCAAGGAAAAUUCCCAAAAAACAUUUUUGAUUUGCCAAACCUCAAUCUCCUCAACUUGGAAGGCAACCAAAACCUCAAUCUUGAUCCUUUGAAGUUCAAUCGGAGCAGCAAUCUUGAACAUUUGGAUCUGUCGUCCGUGUCCUUCUCUACAGAAUUAAUUGAUUCAGUUGAUAAUCUACAGGCCCUAAAGUACUUAGAUCUAUCAGGAAAUUCUUUCUUUCAAGGAUUGUCUGUCUCAUUCACAAAUUUAUCAUCUUUGGAGUACUUGAUUCUUAGGGGCGCAAAUUUUUGUGGAGGAUUGCCUGACUCGAUGGGGAAUCUUGUGUCCUUGAAGUUUUUAGAUCUCUCCAAUUCCAACUUAUCAGGACCGCUUCCAAGAUCACUGGGAAACCUCUUGCAACUCACUUAUUUAGACUUGAGAUCAAACAAAUUGAGUGGACAAAUUCCAUUGUCAAUUCUAAACCUAACGCAGUUGGAAUACUUGGAAAUAGCUGAAAAUUUUUUAGAAGGUUCCAUUCCAGAUGAUGUAACCGCUUUUCCUAAUCUAAUAUCUUUAGACUUAUUUGACAAUUUACUCAAUGGAACACUUCCGUCAUGGUUGUAUACUACUCCCUCAUUAAAUGGUAUAGAUCUCUCUCAAAAUCAAUUCAGUGGGCAUAUCAAAGAAUUCCAAUCCAAAUCACUAGCAUUGAUACGCUUAGAGAAUAAUAAACUCCAAGGUCCUCUUCCAUCUUCAAUAUCCCAACUUCUCAAUCUUACCUGGCUCGAUUUAUCCUCAAAUAAUCUUAGUGGUGUCGUAGAGUUUCGCAUGUUCUCAAACCUUCCAAAUCUCGAACUUCUUGACCUUUCAUAUAACAGCCUAUCCUUAACAUCUAAUACUACUUCUACUGUUAAUCAUAUAUUGCCUAAUCUUACUGGCUUAUUUUUGUCAUCUUGCAAUCUUAGUGAAUUCCCCCAAUUUUUAAAAGGGCUUAAAAGUUUGGAAAGCUUAGACCUCUCUUGCAACAAAAUUGAAGGCAAGAUUCCACAGUGGAUGCAAGAGGUGGGGAAUGGCUCUUUGACUUACUUCAAUGUAUCUCACAACUCUUUGACAGAAGUUGAGCACUUUCCAUGGAAGAAUAUUGCAGUUCUUGACUUAAGCUCCAAUUUGAUCGGUGGAAAUCUUCCGAUUCCAGCUUCGGCGGUCAAUGUCUUUCUGAUCUCAAAUAAUAAUUUCAAUGGAGAGGUCUCUUCUUUAAUCUGCAAUGCCACUUAUCUUAAAAUUCUUGAUUUGUCCCACAAUAACUUGAGUGGAACAAUUCCGCGAUGUUUUGGAAAUUUGAGCAACAGCCUUCAAUUCUUGAAUCUGAAGAAGAACAAGUUCUAUGGGACGAUUCCUCCAACAUUUGCAGAGGGAUGCCAAUUGACUAAUUUCAACUUAAAUGGAAAUCUGUUAGAAGGGCCAUUGACACCAUCCAUCCUUAAUUGUAUUGGUCUGGAAGUGCUAGAUCUUGGUAACAACAAGAUCAAUGAUACAUUUCCUCAUUGGUUGGGAAGUCUUCCACAGCUACAAGUUCUGGUAUUGAAGUCAAAUCAUAUGCAUGGGCCCUUAUGCGUCAAUAGCUCCAAGUCUAGCCCUUUUUUCUCUAAAAUCCAAAUUUUUGAUCUCUCGAGUAAUUAUUUUUCUGGACCCCUACCUGUGAGAUACAUCAACAGCUUCAAGGCUAUCAUAAAUCUGGAGAAGAUUGGGAGUACAAUGUCGUACAUGGGGGUGAAUGAUCCUGGAAUUGGUGGCUUCUAUACCUAUUCCAUUGGAAUUGUUAUGAAAGGACAAUAUAUGGAAUUGGUGAAAAUUUUCACCAUGUGGAUGAUCAUUGAUCUAUCAAACAAUCAGUUUGAAGGGGGUAUUCCAAAGGUUAUUGGGAAGCUUAACUUACUGAAAGGGCUCAACCUUUCUCAUAAUAACCUUAAUGGUGGUAUCCCCACCUCAAUGGAGAAUUUGACAAAUCUUGAAUGGUUGGACCUAUCUUCAAACACGUUGUCUGGGACGAUUCCAAAUAGAUUGGCAGAUCUGCCAUUUCUUUCGUCCUUCAAUGUUUCUGAAAAUCAACUCCAUGGUCAGAUUCCUCAAGGCAAACAGUUCAACACAUUUGGAAAUGAUUCAUAUGAAGGAAACAAGGGAUUAUGUGGAUUUCCAGUCUCGAAAGGUUGCAACAUCAUUGAGCCACCACCUCCAAAUGUGCUUGAAAAAGAUGGCUCAAAAUCAAACAUUACUUUUGGUUGGAAAGUGGUGUUGAUAGGUUACGGAUGCGGAGUGGUGUUCGGAAUGUCCGUGGGAUAUGUUGUUUUCCAAACUGGUAAGCCGAAAUGGUUGGUGAAUUUGGUUGAAAUCCAACAUGAGAAGAAGCGAAGAAGAAAGUCAAAGGAUGGCAGUCGCAGCAAUGGACGAAGAAGGAUCUAGUUAGUGGAAAUGGUGUUCAAGUGUUGAUGUUGUAUCUUCAUAAUUUCUUGUUUUGAAGUCUUUCAAUUUUUUUCCUAUGGUGAAAGGUUGCAUUGCCAUGCAUCUGUCUUUAUUAUUGGUACUAUUUGUAAGGGUUUGUUUUAAAUGUAACAUUUUAUAUGGUUCAACUAUUUAUGUCUUCUUUCAUGAGUUUCAUUUUUGAGUCUCAAUAAUCUCUGCAUUCAAGAUUUUGUCAGCUUAUUAAUUGGUGGAUCAAUAAUCUUCAUGCUCAUCUCAUCAUCUUUUUCUCGAGUUUCUUCUGUGUGGAAAAUAAUUUGGCAUUCUGCAAAUCUCCACAAUGCUUGUGGAUUACCUUUGGUUGACAGCUAUACAUAUAAAGGAAGGAAACAAGACCAUGUCCAAAUUUCCAAAAAUUAGCCAUUGAUUUUUGAACAGUUAAACUUUCGUAUUCUAUUUUUUAAAAUUGUAAAUUCUCAAAUAAUGUAAAUUAGUCCUAAAACUCAAGUUUUGAAAUCUUUACAAUUUAACCCCUUAUAGUUUCAAACUUUACUAUUUUAUGCUCAACUUUCUAAAUUUUCAUAUUUCAUGAUCAUAUAAUUUAGUUACUACAUCAAUAUUUGAGAUUUCACUACUCAAACCCUUACUUCAUUUUGGUCCUUACUUCAAUUUUAUCAAAUUAAAUCAUUUUUCAAUUUGAAUGCAUUGAUGCUAAAUUGAGGGACCACUAAACAAUGUUGAUGCGAGUUUAGGCAAAAUUGGUGGAUCCGAUCUCCUUAGUAAUUUCUUUGUGGAAGUACCUGCUUUCACAAUGCAAACUUGGAUAGUUUGUGGUGGACGAUGAUGAAUCAUUUCAUAGUCAAACACAUAAUUUUUAAACACAAAAUUAACGAUAUAUUGAAAUCAUUAUUGAAAUUAUAAUCAAAAUUAAUACAUGUUCUUUUUAUUAGCUUAAGGGCGUAAAAACCCUUCAAAAUUUUCAAAAAAAACUAAAUUUAAGUCCUGUUUUUUCUACUCAAUUGAGCCCUUAAACUUUUAAAAUGUAUCAAAAAUAUCUUUACACUUCUUCAAAAAAAGCAAUUAAACCCCUUUUUUUUCCCGCUCAAUUGGGUACUUGAACUUUCAUAAUGCAUAAAAAAAACCUUAAAAUUUUUUUCAAAGAAACAAUUAAGCCUCUAUUUUUUUCCCACUCAAUUGGGUACUUGAACUUUCAUAAUGCAUCAAAAAGGCCUUAAUUUUUUUUCAAAAAAGCAAUUAAGCCCUACUCUUAUUAAAAAUUAGAAAAAAAUCAUAAAAAUAAUAAAUUUUAGAAAAAAAUAUUAAAUUUUAAUAAAAUUUAAAAACUUAUUAAUAAUUUGAAUUUUUUUUAGAAAAAUAGUCAAAAAAUAAAAAUUUAUAAAAAAAUAAAAUCCAUCAAAAGUCCUUUUAAUAAUUUACUUUAACUAUUGAUCGUUAAAGUUAACGACGUCUAGUUUUUUCAAUUAAAGUUAUUAUGUGUCGCAACACAGCUUGAUAUGUAGCGAAAACAGAUAAAAAAUUAAAAAUCAAUAAAAGUUAUAGGAAAAUUAUAAAAUAUUUCUUUUGGUACAAUAAUUUUUAUAAAUUUUUUUACAAAAUUUAUAUUUCUUUACAUUUUGUAUAAUUUUCUUAUGACUGUAUAAAAUUUUAUAAUUUUUUAUAUUUCAAUAUAUUUUAAAUUUUUUUAAAAUUUUUAAAAUUUUUAAAAUUUUUAAUAAAUUUUUAAUAUUUGAUUUUUUAUUAAAAUUUAAUAAUAUUAUAGAUUUUAUUGAUUUUAAUUUUUUUCUAAUUUUUAAUAAAAGUAGGGGCUUAAUUGCUUUUUUUUUUAAAGUUUGAGGGUCUUUUUGAUGCAUUUUGAAAGUUUAAGUACCCAAUUGAGUGCCAAAAAAUAAAGUAGGGGCCUAAUUGCUUUUUUUGAAAAUGUUUGAGGGCCUUUUUGAUGUAUUUUGAAAGUUCAAGUACCCAAAUGAGUGCAUAAAAAGAACAGGGGUUUAGUUGCUAUUUUUGAAAAAGUUUUUACCCUUAAACCUCUUUUCUUUUUCUAAAUUUAAUUUAGAGCCAACUUUGAGUAAAGACUUGGAAAUUUAAUUAGCAAAAUUUCUUUCCAUGUAAAAAUUUCCCCUAUUUCUUGUUUGAAUUUAAAGCAAUACAAUAUUUUUCUAGCAAAUAAUAGAAAAUGACAGUCAAUUCGUUCCAAGCAAUACAAAAUUUCCAGUCUGGUGGAAAAUCUAUUAAUAUAUACACACUUAGGGACCAUAUAUAUAUAUAUUCCAGUCUGGGUCUUUGUCGUGUUUUGUUGGUUGGCUAUGGUCUUGUUGUUGUUGUUUCCACUGCCUGUGGUCUUUGUUUCUAAGUCAUAUGUGGCCUUGUUUGCUAGACCUUAGUUGCUAAGUUAAAGGGAGUGAAUAGAGCACCAUUUUCUUCUUCUGCGUGGAAAAUAAGUUGGCAUUAUGCCAAAUUCCACAUUCAUACAUAUAAAGGAAGCAAGAGCAAGUCAAUAUACUUUGUAAUCUCAUCCAUUCUUCUUCUUUCUUUAGGGAGUUCAAAUGAAAUACUAAUUUUUGGUAAAUCAACUCUUCAUUUUUAUGGAUAAAAAUUAUAUGGUAAAAAGGAAGUGGUGUUAAUAAUAAUAAUAAAAGAUUAACAAUAGAACACUAAUAAAGCAAUGUAGUCUAUGAUCUGCACAAUAUAUUACUACAAAUGUACCGUACAGAAUAUUGAAAGAAAACUAAUAAAGAAGUUCGAAAUUUAAACAAUGUUCCGCAAAUUAUGUUUAUGAUCUGCUGUAAAUUGAUAUGUUAAAUUAGGCUCUCCAUCACACUUAAAAGCUUAUUUUCAAGGAAUUUAGAUAUCUUUGUUGUUUUUUUAUUUAGUUUUUGUUCUUUAUAUUAAUAAAUGAUUAGUGUGCAUUUUGAUACUAUUUUGAGACCUGAGAUGGCCAAAGGGCACCCGGGGAAUCUGAUGAGGCUCGUGAGUGAUGCAGAGAGCCCAUGGUGGCUCAGAAGGAGCGAAAAUGUCACCUAGAAAGAGGAUAUCGCAUAUCAAAGCAUGAAAGUCGUAAUACCCAUAACAANNNNNNNNNNNNNNNNNNNNNNNNNNNNNNNNNNNNNNNNNNNNNNNNNNNNNNNNNNNNNNNNNNNNNNNNNNNNNNNNNNNNNNNNNNNNNNNNNNNNAUUGAGCCAUCAACAGUGUUAUCGUGAUACUGGUUAUAAGGUAUCGCGAUACCCAAAACUCCCAAGGAUCCCCAAGACUGUUGUAGAUAUCAUGAUACCAAACUUUGGGUAUCACAAUACCAUUGAUGAGAGGAGACAAAAUAUAACUGUAGGGUUAAUCCUUUUCCAACAUGUCCCCUAACCAAAAUUAGACGAUCAAGGACAAUUUGAUCACUGUUUUCAGAUCUGUAAUUUGCUAGAAAGGGGAAAAAAAUGGCUGAACAAAAGGCACACUUAACAUUUCAUGGUUUUCAAUUUUUCUCUUUAUUUGAAAACAAAUGGAAUUUAUUUUGAAAAUUUUUAAGAUUUUUUUAAAUAAUAAAAAUUUGCAUUAGUUUAAAAAAUUUUAGUUUUAAUUUUAGGAUAUCUUUAGAUUUAUACAUAUUUAAUUAUUUUUAUAUUUUUUAGAUUUAAAUGAAGUUGCAUAUGUAUGCACAUUAGCAAAGUUAAUUGAUAUUAAUUUUUUCAUCUGAUAAACAAUGUAAGUUUAAGGGUUAUUUGAUAAAUAAUGUAGGUUUAAGGGUUAAAAAAGAUGAAAAAUUAAAUUAAGGGCUAAAAUAACUUUUUUUUCAUUAUAAAGCUAAGAGUGAAAUGAGUUUUUGGGAAAAUUAUUCAACAUACAUGCCUUCAAUUUUAUGCAAUAAAAUAAAUGAAUAUAGGCCACACAUGCUUUGAAUUUUUAAGUAGUGCACAAUUUUGUUCUUUUGUGUGCAAAUUUCUACAUUGCUUGACAGCCAUUCAUACUAAGGGUACAUUUGGUUCAGUGUAAUAGAAUAGAGUUGUAAUCGGUAAUUCAAUUGUUUGUUUGAAUGGAACGGAAUAGAACUGUAAUAGUAUUCUUGUGUUUGGUUGAAUGGAAUGAUGUUGUAACAGCAUAAGGAAAAAAACUAAAAUGACUAGAAUACUUUUAGCAGAUUUUUUUUAGGUAGAUGAUUAUUGUUAUUAAAUUCUAAUAAGAUUAUUAUUAAAAAUAAUUUAAUAAAAAUAAUAAAUAAUUUAACCAUAUUUGAAAAUAAUUAUUAUUAAAUAUAAUUUAAUAAAAUUCUUAACAUAAUUACUAUUAUAUGAAUUUACUAAAAUCAUAUUAUAUAAUACUAUAAAAAUAAUAUAUAAUCUACAUUAUUAUUUUUAAACUGCAAUACAUAGUUAAUGUGUUAAAAUAUCAUUAGUGAAACAAAUAAUUUAAUUAUUCUACAAUGAAAUAUUAGAUAUUAGAAGUGAUAAAUAACUUAAGUAUAGUCAAUCUGUAGCAGUCUCCUUCCUCUUUAUUCUUUUGUCUGGAAAAGUAUUUGGGGCCAAUCUUGACGUGUUAUAAGGAAUAAGACUUUGUAAUCUCAUGAAUGUUAAUAAUUUUACCUCUUUGGUAAAAAAAAAAGUAAUCAAUUUUAUGAAUGAAAAAUAUAUGGUAAAAAGAAGUAGUUGUUGAUCACGAACAACAUGAUGAUUGUGGAAAUACAAAAAUUCCAAUAUAUGUGUCGAAUUCUGCAUAAUGUAAAUGUCCCGCAUUGCAUGUGAAUUCUGCAAUAGACCAAACUUUACUUGUUGUAACCCUUUAAACUGAGUUAAUGAAAAGUAAUCUUUCUUAUCAAAAUUAGUUAUACUCUUAAUUUAUAACAAAGGAAAGAGUAAUUUGAGUUUAACUCAAAGGUUAAUAUGUCACCAAUGGGCGAUAGCGUGGCACUACCAUGUCGGUGAUUAUUGAUCAUAUGGCAUUGUCACGUCAACAAACAGUGUUAGUCUUUUUCAUCAUUUUUUUUGGGUGAUUUAAAAGAGAUAAAAAAAAAUGAAAAGUUAAAAUGACUUUUUGUUUGUAAAGUUAAAAAAUGACAAAUAAAUCAUUAUGUCUUUUUAGUUUUAAUUUUUUACUCGAUUAAAAGAGAAAUAAUUAGCGAAUGAAAAAUAGCAAUUCCAAAGAAAUUUAUCAGAAUUUAUAACAAAUGAGAUUUUAGAUUUGAAUUAUGAGGUUAUAUAAGUAUACACAUUUUUUAUGGAAUCAGUGGAUUAAAUUUCCCAGCAAUCUUCUUCCUCAAACUUAAUGAAUAGAGCACAAUUUUGUUCUUUUGGGUGGAAAAGAAUUUCCACAUUAAUUAGCUUUGGUUGAUAGGCAAGUGAAUACAUACACACAUUCUUUACGUGUUAUAGAGAAGAACGCUAAAUCAAUCUACUUUGUAAUCUCAUUAAUCUUAAAUUUUUUAGUUGUUUAGGGAGACCAAAUUAUAUACAAGAUUUUGCGAAAAGAAAGCAUCCAAUUUUAAGAAUGAAAAAUAUAUGGUAAAAAGAAGACUAAGUGGUUGUUGAUGAUUGUGAAAAGUACAAAAAUUUUGAAAAUCUAAUAUCCAUAGCUUCUCAAUGUAAAAGAAAAAAAGACUGUAACACUGCGGUAUUAUUUGUUGCCUAUAAAUACCAUUCCUAUCCUUCAUCUUCCUCUACAGACAUAACAUGGCCCCCUAUCUCUUCCUCUGCCUAUUCCUCUUCUUUCCCCAUCUUUAUGCUUCUUUUUCUUCUUCUGGAUCUCACUCCUGCUCUUCACUAAUCCAGUUUAAGGACUCUUUUUCCAUAACAGAGGAUGCUUCUUCUUAUUGCAAUGGGAUUGCUGGCCUUAAAUCUUAUCCCAAGACAAAUUCAUGGAAGGAGGGUACAGAUUGCUGCUCAUGGGAUGGGGUCACUUGUGACCACCUAAAUGCUCAUGUUAUUGCCCUUGACUUGAGCUGCAGUUGGCUAUAUGGCAACUUCCCUUCCAAUUCCACUCUCUUCCUUCUUCCUCACCUUCAAAAACUCAACCUUGCCUACAAUGAGUUUAAUCUUUCCGAAAUUCCAUCCGAGUUAGGUCGGUUUACAAGCCUACUCUACCUCGACCUUUCCAGUACAGGGUUUGUAGGAGACAAACAUGCUCUGGAGGGACUUGUUCAAAACCUAACCGAGGUCAGACAUCUGUUUUUGGAUGGAAUGGAGAUGGCUUCUGUUAAUGCUCAUGUCUUCAUGAAUCUAUCCUCUUCUCUAAGGUCUCUCAGUCUUGCU
rnacentral:lncRNA from 1 species